rnacentral:siRNA from 1 species
UCCGCAUCCGGUUUCACUCAC